GUCCACGCUGUAAACGAUGAGUGCUAGGUGUCGUGGGUAUUGACCCCCGCGGUGCCGUAGCUAACGCAUUAAGCACUCCGCCUGGGAAGUACGGUCGCAAGACUAAAACUCAAAGGAAUUGACGGGGGCCCCGCACAAGCGGUGGAGCAUGUGGUUUAAUUCGACGCAACGCGCAGAACCUUACCUGGGCUGGAAAGUGUUCGGAAGUCUGGUGAAAGCCGGAUGUGCCCGCAAGGGAACCGAGUGACAGGUGCUGCAUGGCUGUCGU
rnacentral:rRNA from 1 species